CAGUAGCCGCGGGAAUACGAACCGUGCGAACGUUAUUCGGAAUUACUGGGCUUAAAGCGCGUGUAGGCGGGUCGGCACGUCGGUCGCUGAAAUCCCCCGGCUCAACCGGGGAAGUGGCGCCGAUACGGCCGGCCUGGAGGGGGGUAGGGGGGCCUGGAACUUCCGGUGGAGCGGUGAAAUGCGUUGAGAUCGGAAGGAACGCCCGUGGCGAAAGCGAGGCCCUGGACCCUUUCUGACGCUGAGACGCGAAAGCCAGGGGAGCGAACAGGAUUAGAUACCCCAGUAGUCCCUGUCUCUUAUU
rnacentral:rRNA from 1 species